UGUAUAAUCCAAGUAACUUACUCUAUUACCGUCAUCAUUUUUAUCGACCUUGGAAAUUUUUUCAGGUGUCCGUUCAAGAGAAGUAGAUGUCUCUUCACAGACUUUAUCCUUGGAGUUCUGCAAGUUAACGUCAAGACCUCACGGUGACUUUACCAAUGAUAAUGAAUGUGGGACAUUGCUGGAAUGGAGGUGAGUGAUCCUGUGGGUCUAAACCACAGCACAUACCAUCCAACUUUCAUACAUCAAGGUAAAUGGUGAGUGUCCUUACACUUCCUGUUACCAUGAAUUUUUUGAAGGUGUGCGGGUAAGAAAUGAUAGAGUCCUUACCAAUUCCAAAGACCCUGUUUCUCUGCUUUCUGUAUUUCAGGAAAUGUUCAUUUUUAACCCUCUGAGUGUUGAGACUGCACGUAUACAGGUAUUUAUCAUGAUAUUGCCCGUGAAAGUCCUACCCAUAGGCUAUUUGCAGGUGUCCAAUCAUAGAUUGAUGGUCUUAUCCGAUACUGGUAUUAACCUUGGAUUACUUUAAGUAUCCAGUAGAGUUGAUGUGUCUCAUGAUGAUGAAGUGAACACUGUUAUUUGCAGGUUUCCUGGUAGGAAAAAGCUAUGUCCUUCAACACACGCUCGUAAUGUCUUUCCAGCUUCCAGUCACGAAUUGAUGAAUCUAACAUUGCUCAUCAGUGGGGAUGUUCCUAGUGUGCAGGUAAGUGAUGACGUGGGCCUAGACCAGGCCAUCCCAUCUCCAUCUAGCUGGGUAAGUGAUGAAGGUUUCCCUAACAAUUGUUACCAUUUUUCUUUGCAAGUAUUCAGGUAGGAAAUAGUCCUUACCAAUUCUGGAAACCCUGAGUUUUUUCUUUUUAUAUUUUAGAGAAAAUUUUAUUUUAUUCUUGUGAGUGAUGAGGGGUUGCCAUAUUCAGGUAAUGAUCAUGAUGUUUCUAACCCUAGCCGUAACCAUGGAAAUUUUGCAUGUGUUUCAUAAUGAAAUGUUGUUAUAUCUGAUCGUGAUCUUGACCUUGGUUGGAAUACUGCAAAUAUUUAGGUGGAAUUGAUGUUCUACUAAUGAAGGAAGCGUCUAAGGUAAUUAAUUUGAGGUUUCUUGCUGCAAGUUCUGUCUUUUUACACAUCCCUAAUGUGUUUUUCAGAUUCCUGCCAAAAGAUCAAGAUGAAAUCAAUGGUUAAUGGGGGACAUUUCUGGUAUCCAGAUAGGUUAUGAUGUAUACCUUCACCACAUCAGACCAUCUGAUAGUCACAUAUCUAGGUAUCCCUUCAAGAGAGGAAAGUGUGUCUGACUAGGGUUUAACUUCAGAGUUCUGGAAGUGUCCAGGUAAUGUUUAUGGGUCUCCAAAGGAUACAAGUGACCAGGGAAUUUGCAGGUGCAUGGGUAGAAUGAGACAUGUCCCAAACGUAAACCACAGUAUGUUUUUCAGAACAUGCCAAGAGAUCACAAUGAGUCCAUCUAUAGCAGUUAAUGGGGGGGACAUCACUGGUAUUAAGGUAAGUGCUGCUCUGGCCCUAACCCAUGACACAUACCAUCUGAUCUUCGUGUAUUUAGGUAAGUGAUGACAUGUGCUGCCACUUUUUAUUACCAUGAUUUUGUUACAGGUAUUCAGGUAAGAAGGAAGAAUCUUCCCAAUUCUAGAGACUGUAAAUUAAGAGAUAAUCGUGUCUCUACUGGUGAGAUCAGCCUACCUAAGGUUACUGGUAGACUUAAUGAGUCCCGCAGUGAUACAAGGGACAAGGUUUUUACCAGGGUCCAGGUAAUAAGAGUGUUGUCAUAUCACAUCUGUUCAAGUGUGUUUUUCAGGUCACUGUUAAGAUACGAUGGUAAGCUUCAUAAAGAUGAUGAAAGGGAUUUUGUUUAUAUCCGGGGAAGUGAUGAUGAUAGCCUUUUCCAUGCAAUAGACCAUCUGAUAUUCAAUAUCUAUGUAAGUACGGAUGGUGCUCCUAACUUUGUGUUGCUGGGGGGUUUUUUUGUGUGUUUUUUGCAAGUAUUCGG